UGAGUAAAGCGGCGGACGGGUGAGUAACGCGUAGGAAUCUACCUAGUAGUGGGGGACAACUCGGGGAAACUCGAGCUAAUACCGCAUACGCCCUACGGGGGAAAGCGGGGGACCUUCGGGCCUCGUGCUAUUAGAUGAGCCUGCGUUGGAUUAGCUAGUUGGUGGGGUAAAGGCCUACCAAGGCGACGAUCCAUAGCUGGUCUGAGAGGAUGAUCAGCCACACCGGGACUGAGACACGGCCCGGACUCCUACGGGAGGCAGCAGUGGGGAAUAUUGCGCAAUGGGCGAAAGCCUGACGCAGCCAUGCCGCGUGUGUGAAGAAGGCCUUCGGGUUGUAAAGCACUUUCAAUUGGGAGGAAAGGUUCACGGUUAAUAACCGUGAGCUGUGACGUUACCUUUAGAAGAAGCACCGGCUAACUCCGUGCCAGCAGCCGCGGUAAUACGGAGGGUGCGAGCGUUAAUCGGAAUUACUGGGCGUAAAGCGCGCGUAGGUGGUCUGUUAAGUCGGAUGUGAAAGCCCCGGGCUCAACCUGGGAACUGCAUCCGAUACUGGCAAACUAGAGUGCGGGAGAGGGAGGUAGAAUUCCAUGUGUAGCGGUGAAAUGCGUAGAUAUGUGGAGGAAUACCAGUGGCGAAGGCGGCCUCCUGGCUCGACACUGACACUGAGGCGCGAAAGCGUGGGGAGCAAACAGGAUUAGAUACCCUGGUAGUCCACGCCGUAAACGAUGUCUACUAGCUGUAGGGGUACUUGAGACCUUUGUAGCGCAGCUAACGCAAUAAGUAGACCGCCUGGGGGAGUACGGCCGCAAGGUUAAAACUCAAAUGAAUUGACGGGGGCCCGCACAAGCAGUGGAACCAUGUGGGUUUAAUUCGAUGCAACGCGAAGAACCUUACCAGGCCUUGACAUCCUCGGAACUUUCUAGAAGAUAGAUUGGUGCCUUCGGGAACCGAGUGACAGGUGCUGCAUG
rnacentral:rRNA from 1 species